UCCCGAAACAAAUUUACAAACGACAGAUUCGUCACGGAAAGGGAAUGUACCAUAUACCGGAAGUGACGAGCGUGGUCUUUUCGUGUUUUUGUUGUGGAGUUUAUGGCGUCAAAUAAGUUUAUGGUGACCGCCCGAACAUGGACUGCGGCAGAGGGAUGUUUUGCCCGUUUUGUGGCAAACACAUGAACAGCUUAACGCGGUUUUGCUUUACGUGUGGUCGGUGUUUGGAGUUUUUAAAGGACGCGGACCAGACGGAAACACCAGACAUACUGCAUCAUUGCGUUCAAUAUUUUAACGAGGGUCACUCGUACGCUGUAAUCGUGGACAUGAUGUCAAGUCUACACGGUGUAAACAUCAGCUUUAGGACUCUUAAAAGUAAACUGAACGAAGCCGGGUUGUACCGCAGAAAGGAUUAUUCCUCGCCAAACGCCGUGAGUAACGCCAUCAGAUUUGAACUUCGUGGACCUGGACAACUACUCAAUGGGACCUAACUAUAUGUGGCACGCAGGUGGUUAUGACAAACUUAAGCCAUUCGGUUUGGCCAUUUCGGGAUGCAUAGAUGGAUUUUCACGUAAAGUAUUGUGGCUUCAAUGUGGACCAACAAAUAAUAACCCAACAGUGAUUGCUCACUAUUUCAUGUCAUGUGUGCGAAACCUCGGUGUCAUCCCCAUGAGACUGAGGACUGAUUGCGGCACUGAGAACGGCAUAAUGGCUGCAAUUCAAUGUACCCUACGCCACCAUCACAGUGACUACUACUCUGGAGCGUCCAGCCACAUGUACGGCUCAUCUAUAAAUAACCAGCGUAUUGAGUCCUGGUGGUCUAUAUUUAGAAAGGGAAGGUCUCAGUUCUGGAUGGAGUUAUUUGCCGACCUUAGAGAUGCCGGAUACUUCAACGGGUGUCAUGAGCAUCAAUGCCUAUUGAGAUAUUGCUUUGGUGAUGUUAUUCAGAAGGACUUGGAUGAGUGUGUGAGACUGUGGAACAGCCACAGGAUUCGCCCUUCCAGAACAGCAGCAUGUCCAGGAGGAGUGCCCAAUGAACUCUACUACUUACCACACAGGUUUGGCUCCAGAGACUGCGGAUUUCAAAGUGAACAAGCUGAACUGGAUGCCCUUCCUGAGGCUAGCCUGUCAAUGACUCCUUGUGGGGACCCAAACAUGCAGGAGUACUUGGACUUUGCCAUGGAACACAAUCAGUUACAGAAGCCAGACAACUGGGAGUCUGCAUCCGAACUGUACAUGAAACUAAAAGAAAUGGCUCAGCUAUGAAAUGAUCAAAAAGGGAGGGUUUUUUGUAGUGGUGGAAUACUGCUGUCUGUCUGAACACAAUAUUUAUGAAUCUGUCACCCAAAGCUUAAUUGUUUUUAAGUGUGAAGUAAAUUAAUCAAAAAUAGUAAUCAGUAUUUAUUACACUUUUGUAGUAUUGAGAGUAAUGGAUCUAAAAAAUUUUCAAAAUGUUUACUGUGAGAAAAGAACAUGCUCACAUACAGUAACAUUAUAAAAACAACUUUGGCAACUGCACUUUAAAAGUGCACCUUUAAUAGGGUUGGGCAUCAAGAACCAAUUCCUACUUGGAAUAGUUAAAAAAAUUACGAUUCCAUUGUAAUUGUUUCUUUAUUGGAAUCGUUUUGGAGGAUUGGGUUUCAAAUCUGAUCAUGGGUUCCAAAUUUAACAUGCGCAAGUUUUGGUUUCUGUAGUAGCCAGGUGCUUGUUGUGUUGCAGCCAUGGAGCACAGUAAGCGGUGCUCUAGUGUGGCUUUAUUUUACAUUGAAAAAGCCCCGUCAAACUGCAACCCACCUUUGAAUCAAAAUAAAACUUUCCUCUUAUUUGUGAAAUAAGCAUGUGACCCGUUUCAACUCCACCACUCAAAGAAUCGGAAUCGAGAAUCGAUAAGAACCGGAAUCAAAAGGAAGAAUCGGAAUUGGAAUCAGAAUCGUUAAAAUCUAAAUGAUGCCCAACCCUAACCUUUAACAACAACAACUUUUUCAGAGUCUUAACUCUAGGGGUCAUCCAUCAUAUAGCUUAGAAACAGCCGAAUCCUGGACUAUUUUGAAUUCCAAAGUCCAUUUGUGACUUAAACAAAGUGUAUGAGUCUAGGAGUGGUAAUCUCAAGGAGUUUGAACAUGUAUUUGCCAUUGGGAACGCAGAGUCCUCCAGGAACUCUAUUUGAGGCAGUGGUUCCAAGCCAGAUGGGGAAGUGAAGACAGCCCAGUAGCAAACAUCAAAACAUCUUCCACAGACACAGCAGCCUGGCCUUCUGCAAAGAAAAACAAUUCAGAUACAUCACUGCCAUGUGUUUUCUUAACUAGUUAUAAAAAACAAACUAACAAACCUUCACAAUCAAGGAGAUAGUCUGCCCAGUAGGCCAUGGUUUGACUUUCUUUAAGUCUUCGAUUACUCCCCGAAGGACUGAGGUCAGGUUUGAAGAGUCUCUCAAGUUCAAAAGCAGUGAGUCGCCUUUCAGAGUGGCACAUGACAGGGGCCAGCAAAGUAGGGUGUUGCUGUAGUGCAGUCAAAAACUCCAGGGUUGAAAGACCAUCUCUGAAUCUACAGAGUGAACACAAACAUUGUUUCACUGCUGUGUAGUGCCAAUUGAAUUUAAAAUUAUCUAAAGAAAACUAUUAAAUAUUCUCUUCUCUACAA